rnacentral:snoRNA from 1 species
AUCCCUCAGAAUAUAUAUCAUCACUGGGAUUGCUAGCAGAACAGAAAGGCAAGUGAUAAGUGUUCACAACCUCUGAGCCUCAAGCAAUGAUGAGUGGUGUGUGUACUUUGAUGCCGGCCAUUUGGCUGACAGACCUUGCUUCUCGGAAUAAUAGGUAUAGGCAUCCCUCAGAAUAUAUAUCAUCAUUGGGAUUGCUAGCAGAACAGAAAGGCAAGUGAUAAGUGUCCUAUACCUCUGAGCCU